GACGAACGCUGGCGGCGUGCUUAACACAUGCAAGUCGAACGGAAAGGCCUGCUUUCCCUUGUGGAUUGCGGGUACUCGAGUGGCGAACGGGUGAGUAACACGUGAGUGAUCUGCCCCCAACUUGGGUAUAAGCCUGGGAAACUGGGUCUAAUUCCCGAUAGGACUGCAGGGUGGUGCCUGUGGUGGAAAACGAUGUUCUAGUGGUUGGGGAUGAGCUCGCGGCCUAUCAGCUUGUUGGUGGGGUAAUGGCCUACCAAGGCGGCGACGGGUAGCCGGCCUGGGAGGGUGGACGGCCACAUUGGGACUGAGAUACGGCCCAGACUCCUACGGGAGGCAGCAGUGGGGAAUCUUGCACAAUGGGCGGAAGCCUGAUGCAGCGACGCCGCGUGGGGGAUGACGGCCUUCGGGUUGUAAACUCCUUUCGACCGCGAGGAAGCCACCUGGUUGGAAGGGUGGUGACGGUAGUGGUAGAAGAAGCACCGGCUAACUACGUG
rnacentral:rRNA from 1 species